UGGGGCGUGGCCAAGUGGUUAAGGCACCGGACUUUGACUCCGGCACUCGUAGGUUCGAAUCCUACCGCCCCAGCCA
rnacentral:tRNA from 2 species